UCCAAAUGACUCUUGACAACCAAUAUCUCAGCUCUCGCAUCGAUGAAGAACGUAGCAAAAUGCGAUACUUGGUGUGAAUUGCAGAAUCUCGUGAACCAUCGACUGUUUGAACGCAAGUUGUACUCGAAGCUGUCAGGCCUAGGGUAGGUUUGCCUGGGCAUCACA
rnacentral:rRNA from 1 species